UACGUAGGGUGCGAGCGUUAAUCGGAAUUACUGGGCGUAAAGCGUGCGCAGGCGGUUUCGUAAGACAGAGGUGAAAUCCCCGGGCUCAACCUGGGAACUGCCUUUGUGAUUGCGAAGCUAGAGUACGGCAGAGGGGGGUGGAAUUCCACGUGUAGCAGUGAAAUGCGUAGAGAUGUGGAGGAACACCAAUGGCGAAGGCAGCCCCCUGGGUCGAUACUGACGCUCAUGCACGAAAGCGUGGGUAGCAAAC
rnacentral:rRNA from 1 species